GUUUAUGGCCAUAACACCCUGAACAUGCCUGAUCUCUUUUGCUCUCAGAAGCUGAACCAGAGUUGGGCCUAUCUUGUACUUGAUUGAGAGAGAAUGUAUGAUUUGGGGGCACAUUUC
rnacentral:rRNA from 1 species